GAUGAAGAACGUAGCGAAUUGCGAUAAGUAAUGUGAAUUGCAGAAUUCAGUGAAUCAUCGAAUCUUUGAACGCACAUUGCGCCCCUUGGUAUUCCGAGGGGCAUGCCUGUUCGAGCGUCAUUUCAACCCUCAAGCACAGCUUGGUCUUGGGCUUCGCCGCUAACCCGGCGGGUCUUAAAAUCAGUGGCGGUGCCGUCGGGCCCUGAGCGCAGUAAUCUCUCUCGCUAUAGGGUCCCGGCGGAUGCUGGCCAGUAACCCCCAAUUUUCUAUGGUUGACCUCGGAUCAGGUAGGGAUACCCGCUGAACUUAAGCAUAUCAAUAAGCGGAGGA
rnacentral:misc_RNA from 1 species